UGCAGUCGAACGCGAAAUUUCCCUUCGGGGAGAAAGUAGAGUGGCGCACGGNCUGUNNUAACACGUAGGUAAUUUGCCUUUGGGUGGGGAAUAACUCAGGGAAACUUGAGCUAAUACCGCAUAAUGCAGCGGCUCGACAUCGAGACAGUUGUUAAAGCGGGGGAUUGGAGCAAUCCGACCUCGCGCCUAAAGAGAAGCCUGCGGCAGAUUAGCUAGUUGGUAAGGUAAUGGCUUACUAAGGCUACGAUCUGUAACCGGCCUGAGAGGGCGGUCGGUCACACUGACACUGACAUACGGGUCAGACUCCUACGGGAGGCAGCAGUCGGGAAUUUUGGGCAAUGGGCGAAAGCCUGACCCAGCAACGCCGCGUGAAGGAUGAAAUUUUUCGGAAUGUAAACUUCGCAAGAACAGGAAGAAUAAGUAGGGGACAAUACCCCCUACGAUGACGGUACUGUUUGUAAGCUCCGGCUAACUCCGUGCCAGCAGCCGCGGUAAUACGGGGGGAGCAAGCGUUGUUCGGAUUUACUGGGCGUAAAGGGCGCGUAGGCGGCGUGACAAGUCACUUGUGAAAUCUCCGGGCUUAACUCGGAACGGUCAAGUGAUACUGUCGUGCUAGAGUACAGAAGGGGCAACUGGAAUUCUCGGUGUAGCGGUGAAAUGCGUAGAUAUCGAGAGGAACACCUGCGGCGAAGGCGGGUUGCUGGGCUGAUACUGACGCUGAGGCGCGAAAGCCAGGGGAGCGAACGGGAUUAGAUACCCCGGUAGUCCUGGCCUUAAACGAAUGA
rnacentral:rRNA from 1 species